GGAGAGAUGGCUGAGUGGACUAAAGCGUCGGAUUGCUAAUCCAUUGCAUGAGUUAUUUGUAACGGGGUUCGAAUCCCUCUCUUUUCG
rnacentral:tRNA from 1 species